GAGGAAGUCGUUGCUAAAGAAACAUCUUCUAAACAAAUUACGUUUGUUUUUUUAGUAUUAAAUUUGUCGUGGUUUUUAUCACAAAAUCUUUGAGAAAUAUUUAUAAUUGAAUUUUAAAAUGCUACGAUAACUAUGUAUUUGGGUAGGUAAUUAUGGAACGAUUUGUAAUCUAUAGAGCCAAUGGGAUUAGGGUCCAAUAAUUAUUGUGUUUUAAAUUGAAUUGCAAUAGAUUCUUAAUUGAUUUUGGAGCAAAUGUCUGAUAUCCAAAUGGAUUAUACCAUCAUAAUCCUUUAAAGAAGAUUAAGUUAUGGUUUGGAAGAUAUUUCAAAUAAGUCAGAGAAACUUUUCAAUCUAACCUAACCUAACCUUUAUGAUGUAGAAGAAAAUAAGGAACAAUAUAUAUUUUAAAAUGAAUGUUUGUAGGAUGAUGAAGAAGCUAUUUUGAGGAUACUACAGGAAGUAAAUUCUGUUAGAGUGAUGUCAAAAUACCUAAGUUUAGUUCCAAUUAAAAGAGAAAAAGUUAGACUUUGGACUUCUUUAGAUGUAGAUGGAUUGUAUCAAUUGGAAUGUCUUUAGUAACACUUAUUUUCAGACACGUCCAACUUAUAAUAAAAUAAAAAAAAAAUAGUUUCUUUCCAUACUUUAGAAAUCAUCCAAUUUACAAUCGCUUAUGUGCCCAGAGUUCAUGUAUUAAUAAUAAUUCUUAAUACGUGGAA